AUGCUAAGCAAAGUUAUAACACAAUUUUUGAAGGGUGGAGAUGCUAAACGACGGAGGAUUAUGGAAGAUGAAGAUUUUUGGGUGAUUUGGAAUAAACUGGCGCAGGGUAAUUGGUAUACAAGAACUGGUUUUGAAUUGGAUUUUUAUGAUCUAUUUUCGUCUCUGCUCUUCUUCGAAGCUCCACCUUCAUCUCAAUCUCCGAAGCCCCAAUCAGAAACAUUGCGCCGCCGCUUAUCAUCACAUUCGAUUCCGCUUAAGUUCGCUCGCUGCUACCUCAACGGAAUGCCUCUAUAUCUCGAUUCCGUCUUUGAUCUACUUCUGCGUGUUUUCCGAUCUUGCUUUGACAACUUAGGUCAUCAGAACUCAGAUUGA